rnacentral:tRNA from 1 species
UAAUAUGGCUUAGUGCUAGAGUGCUUGCCUAGCAUGCAGGAAGCACUGGGUUCAACUCCUCAGUAUUA